rnacentral:rRNA from 1 species
UUACGGAAGGCAGCAGUGGGGAAUAUUGCACAAUGGGCGAAAGCCUGAUGCAGCUAUGCCGCGUGUAUGAAGAAGGCCUUAGGGUUGUAAAGUACUUUCAUCGGGGAGGAAAAACAAAACUAAUAAUUUUAUUUCUUGACGUUACCCGAAAAAGAAGCACCGGCUAACUCCGUGCCAGCAGCCGCGGUAAUACGGAGGGUGCUAGCGUUAAUCAGAAUUACUGGGCGUAAAGAGCACGUAGGUGGUUUUUUUAAGUCAGAUGUGAAAUCCCUGGGCUUAACCUGGAACUGCAUUUUGAAACUGAAAUACUAGAGUAUCGUAGAGGGAGGUAGAAUUCUAGGUGUAGCGGUGAAAUGCGUAGAUAUCUGGAGGAAUACCUGUGGCGAAAGCGGCCUCCUAAACGAAUACUGACACUGAGGUGCGAAAGCGUGGGGAGCAAACAGGGAUUAGAUACC